UGGGGAAUAUUGCACAAUGGGCGCAAGCCUGAUGCAGCCAUGCCGCGUGUGUGAAGAAGGCCUUCGGGUUGUAAAGCACUUUCAGCGGGGAGGAAGGUGGUAAGGUUAAUAACCUUGGCAAUUGACGUUACCGACAGAAGAAGCACCGGCUAACUCCGUGCCAGCAGCCGCGGUAAUACGGAGGGUGCAAGCGUUAAUCGGAAUUACUGGGCGUAAAGCGCACGCAGGCGGUUGAUUGAGUCAGAUGUGAAAUCCCCGGGCUUAACCCGGGAAUUGCAUCUGAUACUGGUCAGCUAGAGUCUUGUAGAGGGGGGUAGAAUUCCAUGUGUAGCGGUGAAAUGCGUAGAGAUGUGGAGGAAUACCGGUGGCGAAGGCGGCCCCCUGGACAAAGACUGACGCUCAGGUGCGAAAGCGUGGGGAGCAAACAGG
rnacentral:rRNA from 1 species